UCGAAUAGUUAAUCACACAAUGGUAACAAUCUGUUAGUUGGAAAUUCGAGUCCUUGGUAAUGGCUAACAGCAAUGGCAUCAAAUCCACCUCAGAGCUUAUUCCCUUGGGCUGUCACCCAUUUCGUGCUUUGAUGAAAGCUUCGAGAAGUCGACUACAUCAUCUUCUCAAGCCUCGUCAAUGAAACAGAGAGAGAGAGAGAGAGAGAGAAAUAGUGUCGAGUAUUCAAAAAAAGUGUACUGAUUCGAGAAAGGGAAGAACUUUUCAUUCGACUUGUCUCGGGAAUAUCGAAAUGCUUUCUACAAAUUCAUGCCACCAAACUGUUAUACUUUAUCUUAUUGUUAAGUUUAUAGAAAUAUUUGUGAUUUCAGGUAUUCGAUAUUUAUUUUGUUUUUAAUAUUCCUGACACACUAAAUGUAUGCACGAUAAAGUAUAUAUUGAUAUAUCGUCAUAUAUCAAGUAUGUUUGUCAAGGAUAAUCUUUAGAAAAAAAUAAAUGGAGUAUGAAAAGUUACCUCAGCAAGGUGUAAUCUCUUUCUCUCUCUCUCUCUUUCUUUCUGAACAAAGAACAUGUAACAUAUAUAUAUACAUGCAUGGCCUCGAACUAGGACGACAUCGUGAAACCACAAUCGGAACAAACCAACGCAACAAGCGAUUUUCUAAGACUCAACAUUCUAGAUUUCUAGAUUUUAAUGCGAUGACAAUGGUAUUGUUAGAAUAAAAUUGAUUGUUGAAUAAUGAAUGAUUUUGAGUGGCUUGAUUAUUAGUGGUACACUGUUGAAGUAUAUAUUACCUUGAGAGUAACCGAACACUGUACACCCUCCUACUACUCGUCGGAACAAUAUUGCUCUUCGCGUACUGUAGCUGAAUAAGCAGAUCAAAUAUUUGAUGGGGUGGCAGAGAGGAAAAAGAGAGAACGAGAGAGAGAGAGAGAAAGAGAGAGAUGGAAAGAAAGAUUAUUUAAAAUUACAUGUAUGUACACGAUAGUCCGUAAAUCAAUUGACAAAAGAGUAUUGUUAAUAUAUAUAUAUAUAUCAAUUUAAUUUAUAAAUAUUGAGUCAUGCAAACAAAAUUCCUUUUUGUCUUUCGACAUUAAAGUUUACAAAAGCUUUCAAAAUAGAAAUAAAAAAAUUGA